rnacentral:misc_RNA from 1 species
GAUGAAGAACGUAGCAAAAUGCGAUACUUGGUGUGAAUUGCAGAAUCCCGUGAACCAUCGAGUUUUUGAACGCAAGUUGCGCCCGAAGCCUUUUGGCCGAGGGCACGUCUGCCUGGGCGUCACGCAUCGCGUCGCCCCCCACAAUUCUCCGUAAAGGGAACAUGUGUUUUGGGGGCGGAUAUUGGUCUCCCGUGCUCAUGGCGUGGUUGGCCGAAAUAGGAGUCCUUUCGAUGGACGCACGAACUAGUGGUGGUCGUAAAAACCCUCGUCUUUUGUUUCGUGCUGUUGCUCGCAAGGUAAACUCUUUAAAAACCCCAAUGUGUCGUCUCUUGACGACGCUUCGACCGCGACCCCAGGACAGGCGGGACUACCCGCUGAGUUUAAGCAUAUCAAUAAGCGGAGGA